rnacentral:rRNA from 1 species
GUGCCAGCAGCCGCGGUAACACGGGGGACGCAAGCGUUAUUCGGAAUUAUUGGGCGUAAAGGGCGUGUAGGCGGUCUUAUCGGUCAGAUGUGAAAGCCCAGGGCUCAACCCUGGACGUGCAUUUGAAACAGUAAGACUUGAGUACUGGAGAGGAAAGCGGAAUUCCUGGUGUAGAGGUGAAAUUCGUAGAUAUCAGGAGGAACACCGAUGGCGAAGGCAGCUUUCUGGACAGAAACUGACGCUGAUGCGCGAAGGCGUGGGUAACGAACAGGAUUAGAUACCCUGGUAGUCCACGCAGUAAACGAUGUACACUAGGUGUAGGAGAUAUUAAAACUUUCUGUGCCGCAGUUAACGCAUUAAGUGUACCGCCUGGGGAGUACGGUCGCAAGACUAAAACUCAAAGGAAUUGACGGGGGCCCGCACAAGCGGUGGAGCAUGUGGUUUAAUUCGACGCAACGCGAAGAACCUUACCUGGGUUUGACAUCCUGUGAACGUCUAA